GAUGCAGGUCACCUUAUCGCUGUUUCAGUAAUGAAAGAGAGGAAAGUCCGGACACCGUAGUGCAGUAUAGCGGGUAACACCCGUCCGUCGAAAGGCGAGGACAAGUGCAACAGAAAGAAUGUACAGGUAAUGCUGUAGUGAAAUCAGGUAAACUCUAUGCGGUGCAACGCCAUGUAAACCAGCUUUUGAGGGUUGCACGCCCAAUGCUGGAGGGUAGGCGGUUCGAUCUUGUUAGUAAUGACAAGGCUAGAUAAAUGAUAAGGGCUUCUACAUAGAAGACAGAAUCCGGCUUAUGACCUGCUUCUUUU
rnacentral:RNase_P_RNA from 1 species